rnacentral:rRNA from 1 species
GAGUUUGAUCGUGGCUCAGAAUGAACGCUGGCGGCGUGGUUAAGACAUGCAAGUCGAACGGACCCUUCGGGGUUAGUGGCGGACGGGUGAGUAACACGUGGGAACGUGCCCUUUGGUUCGGAACAACUCAGGGAAACUUGAGCUAAUACCGGAUAAGCCCUACGGGGGAAGAUUUAUCGCCAUUGGAGCGGCCCGCGUCUGAUUAGCUAGUUGGUGAGGUAAAGGCUCACCAAGGCUACGAUCAGUAGCUGGUCUGAGAGGAUGAUCAGCCACAUUGGGACUGAGACACGGCCCAAACUCCUACGGGAGGCAGCAGUGGGGAAUCUUGCGCAAUGGGCGAAAGCCUGACGCAGCCAUGCCGCGUGAAUGAUGAAGGUCUUAGGAUUGUAAAAUUCUUUCACCGGGGACGAUAAUGACGGUACCGAGAAGAAGCUCCGGCUAACUUCGUGCCAGCAGCCGCCGCAGUAAG